GAUGAACGCUGGCGGCGCGCCUAACACAUGCAAGUCGAACGGUUAAGCCACCUUCGGGUGGGAAUAAAGUGGCGAACGGCUGAGUAACACGUGGGCAAUCUGCCCUAAAGACUGGGAUACCACUUGGAAACAGGUGCUAAUACCGGAUAACAACAUGAAUCGCAUGAUUCAAGUUUGAAAGGCGGCGCAAGCUGUCACUUUAGGAUGAGCCCGCGGCGCAUUAGCUAGUUGGUGGGGUAAAGGCCUACCAAGGCAAUGAUGCGUAGCCGAGUUGAGAGACUGAUCGGCCACAUUGGGACUGAGACACGGCCCAAACUCCUACGGGAGGCAGCAGUAGGGAAUCUUCCACAAUGGACGCAAGUCUGAUGGAGCAACGCCGCGUGAGUGAAGAAGGUCUUCGGAUCGUAAAGCUCUGUUGUUGGUGAAGAAGGAUAGAGGCAGUAACUGGUCUUUAUUUGACGGUAAUCAACCAGAAAGUCACGGCUAACUACGUG
rnacentral:rRNA from 1 species